UACGUAGGGGGCAAGCGUUGUCCGGAAUCAUUGGGCGUAAAGCGCGCGUAGGCGGCCCGGUAAGUCCGUUGUGAAAGUCGGGGGCUCAACCCUCGGAUGCCGGUGGAUACUGUCGGGCUUGAGUACGGAAGAGGCGAGUGGAAUUCCUGGUGUAGCGGUGAAAUGCGCAGAUAUCAGGAGGAACACCGGUGGCGAAGGCGGAUCUCUGGGCCUUACCUGACGCUGAGGCGCGAAAGCUAGGGGAGCAAACAGG
rnacentral:rRNA from 1 species